rnacentral:rRNA from 1 species
UACGAAGGGGGCUAGCGUUGUUCGGAAUCACUGGGCGUAAAGCGCACGUAGGCGGAUUGUUAAGUCGGGGGUGAAAUCCCGAGGCUCAACCUCGGAACUGCCUCCAAAACUACAAGUCUGGAGCAAGAUAGAGGCAAGUGGAAUUGCGAGUGUAGAGGUGAAAUUCGUAGAUAUUCGCAGGAACACCAGUGGCGAAGGCGACUUGCUGGAUCUUUGCUGACGCUGAGACGCGAAAGCGUGGGGAGCAAACAGG